UGGCGGCCGUAGCGCGGUGGUCCCACCUGACCCCAUGCCGAACUCAGAAGUGAAACGCCGUAGCGCCGAUGGUAGUGUGGGGUCUCCCCAUGUGAGAGUAGGGAACCGCC
rnacentral:rRNA from 1 species